GUUCCUACGGGACGCAGCAGUGGGGGAUAUUGCACAAUGGGGGAAACCCUGAUGCAGCGACGCCGCGUGUGGGAAGACGGUCCUCUGGAUUGUAAACCACUGUCCCCAGGGACGAAAAUGACGGUACCUGGGGAGGAAGCUCCGGCUAACUACGUGCCAGCAGCCGCGGCAAUACGUAGGGAGCGAGCGUUGUCCGGAAUCACUGGGUGUAAAGGGAGCGUAGACGGCUGUGCAAGCCUGAAGUGAA
rnacentral:rRNA from 1 species